UGGUGUUUCCAUACUCUGUGGUGGCUGGAAUUGAUUUUCGUCCCCCUUCCUAGGGUUUAUGGAAUAUUGGGGUAUUUAUAAAGCAAAGAGGCGGUGCGGGACGCCAACAAGGAGGGCAUAACCCACCAGGUCGCGUCUGGGCCCCCAUGCGCGCACUGGUGGAUUGUGCUCCCAUCGGAGCUCCCUUAGGUGCGUUCCUGGCCCAGUGGAUGUCUUCUGGCCCAAAAAAACCACAAAAAGUUUCGCCGCGUUCGGACUCCGUUUGGU
rnacentral:lncRNA from 1 species